GCCGAUGUGGUGGAAUUGGUAGACACUCCGUUACAACGGGCCUCUUCGAGGUGCGGGUUCGAUCCCUGUCGUCGGCC
rnacentral:tRNA from 1 species